AUACGUAGGUGGCAAGCGUUGUCCGGAAUGACUGGGCGUAAAGGGUGCGUAGGUGGCACUUUAAGUUGGAUGUGAAAUCCCCGUGCUUAACAUGGGAGCUGCAUCCAAUACUGGAGAGCUAGAGUGCAGGAGAGGUAAGCGGAAUUCCUAGUGUAGCGGUGAAAUGCGUAGAUAUUAGGAGGAACACCAGUGGCGAAGGCGGCUUACUGGACUGUAACUGACACUGAGGCACGAAAGCGUGGGGAGCAAACAGGAUUAGAUACCCUGGUAGUCCACGCUGUAAACGAUGAAUACUAGGUGUAGGGGGUAUCAACUCCCUCUGUGCCGCAGCAAACGCAAUAAGUAUUCCGCCUGGGGAGUACGGCCGCAAGGUUGAAACUCAAAUGAAUUGACGGGG
rnacentral:rRNA from 1 species